CCUACGGGUGGCAGCAGUGGGGGAUAUUGCACAAUGGGGGGAACCCUGAUGCAGCGACGCCGCGUGGGUGAAGGAGCGUUUCGGCGCGUAAAGCCCUAUCGGCAGGGAAGAAAAUGACGGUACCUGAAGAAGAAGCCCCGGCUAACUACGUGCCAGCAGCCGCGGUAAUACGUAGGGGGCAAGCGUUAUCCGGAUUUACUGGGUGUAAAGGGGGCGCAGACGGCGAUGCAAGCCAGGAGUGAAAGCCCGGGGCCGAACCCCGGGACUGCUCUUGGAACUGCAUGGCUGGAGUGCAGGAGGGGCAGGCGGAAUUCCUAGUGUAGCGGUGAAAUGCGUAGAUAUUAGGAGGAACACCGGUGGCGAAGGCGGCCUGCUGGACUGUGACUGACGUUGAGGCCCGAAGGCGUGGGGAGCAAACAGGAUUAGAUACCCGGGUAGUC
rnacentral:rRNA from 1 species